GGCUGGUUUGAGAGUGCCAAGUACCUCCUGCAAACUGACACCAUGAACUAGGGUUGGAUGCCUCCCAGGAACAAGCUGGCACCAGUGCCAACUUGGGCUGGUUUGAGAGUGCCAAGUACCUCCUGCAAACUGACACCAUCAACUAGGGUUGGAUGCCUCCCAGGACCAAGCUGGCACCAGUGCCAACUUGGGCUGGUUUGAGAGUGCCAAGUACCUCCUGCAAACUGACACCAUGAACUAGGGUUGGUGAGUUUUAUUUCCCAGGGAAAAGGGGCGGUUUUUGUGUUCUAGGGGCUGUGGCUCAGAGCAGCCUUCUGGCUUUUAAAAUUCCGCAUAUCGCAGGAUGCCUCCCAGGACCAAGCUGGCACCAGUGCCAACUUGGGCUGGUUUGAGAGUGCCAAGUACCUCCUGAAAACUGACACCAUCAACUAGGGUUGGUGAGUUUUAUUUCCCAGGGAAAAGGGGCGGUUUUUGUGUUCUAGGGGCUGUGGCUCAGAGCAGCCUUCUGGCUUUUAAAAUUCCGCAUAUCGCAGGAUGCCUCCCAGGACCAAGCUGGCACCAGUGCCAACUUGGGCUGGUUUGAGAGUGCCAAGUACCUCCUGCAAACUGACACCAUCAACUAGGGUUGGUGAGUUUUGCUUACCUGGGAAAAGGGGCAGCGUUGGUGUUGCAGGGCCGUUGGCUCAGAGCAGCCUUCUGGCUCCUAAAAUUCCGCAUAUUGCAGGAUGCCUCCCAGGAACAAGCUGGCACCAGUGCCAAUUUAAGCUGGUUUGAGAGUGCCAAGUACCUCCUGAAAACUGACACCAUCAACUAGGGUUGGAUGCCUCCCAGGACCAAGCUGGCACCAGUGCCAAGUCAGGCUGGUUUGAGAGUGCCAAGUACCUCCUGCAAACUGACACCAUCAACUAGGGUUGGAUGCCUCCCAGGAACAAGCUGGCACCAGUGCCAACUUGGGCUGGUUUGAGAGUGCCAAGUACCUCCUGCAAACUGACACCAUCAACUAGGGUUGGAUGCCUCCCAGGAACAAGCUGGCACCAGUGCCAACUUGGGCUGGUUUGAGAGUGCCAAGUACCUCCUGCAAACUGACACCAUCAACUAGGGUUGGGGCUGUGGCUCAGAGCAGCCUUCUGGCUUUUAAAAUUCCGCAUAUCGCAGGAUGCCUCCCAGGACCAAGCUGGCACCAGUGCCAACUUGGGCUGGUUUGAGAGUGCCAAGUACCUCCUGAAAACUGACACCAUCAACUAGGGUUGGAUGCCUCCCAGGACCAAGCUGGCACCAGUGCCAACUUGGGCUGGUUUGAGAGUGCCAAGUACCUCCUGAAAACUGACACCAUG